AAAAAAAAUGGAGCGUAAGAGUUUAUCAUUGCAAUUCUCAUGCACCUUUCAUUGUAAUGGCCUCCCUUCUGAAUUUCAGCUUCAAUCUUUCAUCUUUUAAGGCAAGUGCAAUGUCAACAGUUCAAAUGCAACAGUGACAGUUUGAUCUGUGUGACUUAUGAAUGCUAUAAAAUCUCCACGACACUUGUUAUUGCUUGGACUUCAUGAGUAGAGUCCUGGGAGAGGCUGUUUAAAUACCCAUGGAAGUUGUCUUGGCACCACCCUAUUUGAUUUUCCUGCUUCACUGAUAUUUAUGUCCGUGUGUUGCCGCUUUGAAUGAGCUCACCUGUUUGAUGUGCUGCCAAAAAGCUAUCUUGCUAGCCAUGACGGCCGCUCACCAGAGGCUUAGCUACACUGUGUUUGUUUAAAAAAAACGCAUGUGGGUAGAAUCACCUGUCCUGGGCUCAGUGUUAUUCCGCUUCUAGUUGCUCACCAAGACUGUAGCACCCACUGCUCCCCAGUGUUGCAUAACCCUUCAGAUUAGUUCUGCUUCUGUCCUGCUUGACUAGAUUCUGGCUGUCGGUCUUCCUUUUUCCACCGCAAGACUCCUGACCAACUUCUUAUUCCAUACAAGGCCAAACUAAGACAAGUCCACUGCACUCUACUGUAUGAUGCAGCCCAUCGGGACCCUUUAUUUAUCCAACAAAGUCCUUUCACAUGGAUCGCUUUACUCGUUGCAUUCAUUCCAAAAGGAAGGAGCUGAAUUUAAUGAUACAAUUGUGGCUAAUGCCGUGGAUUUGGCAUUUUGCUUCAAGGAAACUGAGGGACACCAUUUAGCACCAGUGGCUCGUGACAUCACUUGUCUAAAGUCCUCAUGACCAAGGCUGUGUGUUGUUCUAUGUGUGAGUGGAAUGUAACGUCCACAUGUAUUUGUUGCCAAACACAGUCCGACGGCGCGUGCAAAGGCGAUGGGGCGGAGGGCCGCCCGACGGGCUGCAUGCGUCAUGUCGACCCAGCUGCGUGAUAUACAUAGCGAUAGGUAGGAUGGAAACUCACAAGGGGCUGGAGUGUGACAUACACAAAGAGUCAAUGGGAGAAACUGCAGGAGGGCAUUUGAAGGGGAAAGAAGGACUCGCUCGUUAUAUGUCGACGUGUUUACCCAAGUUGAGAAAACAAAACAUCAACUGACAAACCAGUCACAUCAGCUAAAAAAAAAAAAAAACAUUUAAAUGCACUUAUGAAAUAUGCCCUCCAGAAAUACGUACUGGAUCUGAGCCCGGGAAGGAAAUUGUAUCGCUGAACAUUUUUGGGCAGCCUUGAUGCAAAAGUCUUCUGCGCACAAGGACUGUUUGCUUUGCAGUGAUGGCUAAGCUUGUUGGGACAAAGGCCACUCCCUUGAAAAAAAAAACCACUCUCUGCUUGCUUACAUUCUUCCACAUGUCGGACUGUACUUAUGUGUUGCAACAUGAAGCGCAUUGGGUUCGUUAUUGUAAGGCUUUUGCAAUGGAACAUUUUCAAAUCUACCGAAUUGCGCCCUUCUUCUGUUAACAUUUUGCAGGCUGGCAAAAAAAUGGUUAGAUAUCUUCAUUUUGUCUCAUCUUUUUGAAUUUUUUUUUUUUUUUAAGUGCAGACGUCAAGCAGAGUAGUAACGAUGAAACGACAUCAUAACCUGAUGCAAUUUUAUUUAUUUUUUUUUUGAUUCAUCGGGUCUUAAAGCAGUUGAAACAGAAUGGAAUGCACGACAUGACCGCAACCAGCGACGGCACUGUUGAUUUAGUUUCAACUGCUUUGCAAUCAUAUCAAGUACAAAACUACAUCCUGUAAGCGAAGGUCCACCUCCAAGCAGACGAUCAAAUGUGCUUUAAUUCUUGAUGCCUGAUAAAGUCAUGCUAUUGACAUGUCAUUUAGCAACCAGGGAAUUGCUUAAAAAUGCCCGAUAUGCCUCCUUGAACCCUUUUAGGGACGGCGGUUACUAUAGUGGACUUCUUAUCAUGUUAUCUGGUCACAGGGUGCAUGAAAGGGUUAAACAUUAACACACAGGUUGACCCAGAAUUAUUUGCACCGAUACAAGUUGACACUGUAUGUGUGCCGCAUCUCUGUCAUGACCACCUUCCGCCGCGCUGCAAACAACUCGACACCGCAACGCACACAAACAAACCCAAGGUCCAAGUUGAGGAAGCUGCCGUGACCGCUUUCAAAGUCGGUAUUUUCAAACAGCCUGGCUCUCACUGAAAUUCACUGCUGUCAGAUCGCCCUUGUUAUAUUUACUGAACAGUUGAAUGGCUGUCCGCAAAUGAAAAUGGCGCCUCGGGGCCUUUUGUGCUGCUUUGGUAUGCAGGGUGAGAAAUGUGCAGGUACAUAAAAAAAAAAAAAAAAAGAACGGUGGAAACAAGGCAGGGUCGCUCUCAGGGCAAGAUGUUCCUCUUCACUGCAGGUGUGCAAAGCAUCGACCACAAUAAAAAAGGCGAUCGUGAUCCCGGUCUGGAGCAGAGCAAACACAUCCUAUUGAGAUGGUAUCCUCAACUGUGUUUUUACUGUCAAUAGUGCUGUGGGUGUCCGAGGAUCACGUCUUGAUGGGAGGUUGCAGAGAUAUUGACUUCCAGGUCGCUCUGUGGGAAAAGAAUCCGAACAGGAGAAUGGACCCACAUACAGACGAGCAAAGACUAUCAUCAAAUCCAAAAAGUACAUCGUUUACAGCUCAUCAAAAUUCCCAAGGCGCGGAACCUGGUAACCACGGCAACUACAGAUGAGAAGGAAAGAUUCCCGGAAUGGCUCGAAUUCCUUCACGCAGUGGCCUUCCGCCCGCAGCGUCAUAAGGACAUUCGCCUCAAACACAACGGGAGAAGACACAUCAACAAUUCAGCACAUUUGAGGAGGAGUUGCUCUUGUUCCACUCAGCAUUGUGUCUUCUUCAGCUGGGCGGUGUGAGAGAAACAAUUGUGGGCUGUUUGCGUAGAAGGGGAGGCGGCGGGGGGAGUUUGUGAAGUAGGUGACAGUGAUCAGAAAGGCUUUGUCGCGAGGUGAGGACCCCCAAAACGGCAAAGGGAAUAUUGUGUGCGUGGGUGGGUGCUCGACACUCUCAGAAGGUCGCGAUGCAGUGAAGGCUUUGUGAAAAGAAGUCGCACGAGUCUGCAGUUUUUAUCAGCUGUGUCGGAUUACAAGAGGAAGCAUCGACUAUAAGAACUGUGGACUAUGGACGACACGAAGUGACGUCUUGCUGUGAAAACAUCUGAGACUCAUCGGGGGGAAGAUUAGCAGUCAUAAAAUGUAAAUGAGCUGAUGAUAUCAUGGCAUGUGUAGGUCACUC